rnacentral:rRNA from 1 species
CCUACGGGGGGCUGCAGUAAGGAAUAUUGGUCAAUGGACGAAAGUCUGAACCAGCCAUGCCGCGUGGAGGAUGAAGGUCCUCUGGAUUGUAAACUUCUUUUAUAUGGGACGAAAAAAGGCCUUUCUAGGCCGUCUGACGGUACCAUAUGAAUAAGCACCGGCUAACUCCGUGCCAGCAGCCGCGGUAAUACGGAGGGUGCAAGCGUUAUCCGGUUUCAAGGGGGCGUAGGUGUGCUGAGAAGUCUUGGGAUAAAUCUCCGAGCGUAACUUGGAAACUGCCAUUGAUACUAUGAAUCUUGAAUAUUGUGGAGGUUAGCGGAAUAUGUCAUGUAGCGGUGAAAUGCUUAGAUAUGACAUAGAACACCAAUUGCGAAGGCAGCUGGCUACACAUAUAUUGACACUGAGGCACGAAAGCGUGGGGAUCAAACAGGAUUAGAUACCCCUGUAGUC